rnacentral:tRNA from 1 species
GCGGGCGUGGUGAAAUCGGCAGACACAGCGGACUUAUGUAAUUGAGUGCCCGUCGGGAAACCGGCGGAGUAGAACUGCUCAAAGUCGGGGAAACCUUAUCCGGCAAUCCCGAGCCAAGCCCGGAGUCACUUCUGGGAAGGUGUAGAGACUAGACGGGCAGCACCUAAACCUCAUAUGGGGAAUGGUGAAGGGAUAGUCCAGACCACGAACUCGCUUAUCGGGGCGGCGAAAGCCGAAGUGGUAUGAAAAUCCGCAGACCCUUAUCAGGUCGUGGGGGUUCAAGUCCCCCCGCCCGCACCA